UGGGGAAUAUUGCACAAUGGGGGAAACCCUGAUGCAGCGACGCCGCGUGAAGGAUGAAGUAUUUCGGUAUGUAAACUUCUAUCAGCAGGGAAGAAAAUGACGGUACCUGACUAAGAAGCCCCGGCUAACUACGUGCCAGCAGCCGCGGUAAUACGUAGGGGGCAAGCGUUAUCCGGAUUUACUGGGUGUAAAGGGAGCGUAGACGGCAUGGCAAGUCUGAAGUGAAAGCCCGGGGCUCAACCCCGGGACUGCUUUGGAAACUGUCAGGCUAGAGUGCUGGAGAGGUAAGUGGAAUUCCUAGUGUAGCGGUGAAAUGCGUAGAUAUUAGGAGGAACACCAGUGGCGAAGGCGGCUUACUGGACAGUGACUGACGUUGAGGCUCGAAAGCGUGGGGAGCAAACAGGAUUAGAUACCC
rnacentral:rRNA from 1 species